GCUGCACCCGUGAGCGUCUUUGAGCUUGACGUCGUGGAUGUAGUUGUCACACGCAGGUAGUACGAGCUGCAGCCGCCCUCCGUACUGCACGUCGGUAUGGCCAGAAAGAAGAAAGGAUGGGGCACCAAGACGGUGUGGUCGAUGUCUUUCUUCGACAUGAUGCCGUGGGUGGCCGGGGGCAACGUAGCUAGUGGGGCGCCACUGACUGCAGCGGCACCCGCGUCGAGCUGCACUCCACCUCACGGCACCACCUCGCCUCCAUGUGAUGCCGUCACCAAGGCAGUAUGCGCAUCGCCCACCUCCUCUACCCCGGCCCUACACGGCAAGCCUCACAAGGAGCGCAAGAUGCAGGAGCUGGAUCCGCUCACGCGCUGGCGUUGCCGGCGUUGUGGCGUGGUGCUGCAGCCGCCUCUAGAUGCAGCGACGGGCAAACCGCGCUACGGGGUGAUGAUGACGGAGCACCUGGAAGGGAUAUCGUCGGGAGGGACGACGCGCCUGGCAACCGGGGUAGUAGUGUGCGCCUCGGGCACCAUGCGCUACGAAAAGGUGUUGCAUGAAAAAGAUACCUUGUCGCAUCCUCAGCCGAGCAAGCGGCCGCGAGACGACGCGGGCGAGGGCUUAGCUAGAGGGAGAGCGACGGAGGAAGACUCUGUUGUCGCCGGCACUCGGGAGUCCCAAAGCCACGAACACGACGAUAUCGACAAGACUACGGCUUGCGAAGCCAUUCGCCGUUUGCUGCGUCAGUGUCAGCAAGGGGCACGGCAGCACGGCAACGCAAACGCUUCACCCUCGCCACUUCUCUUCAUUGUUGUCGAGAAUCCAAAGACACCGGCGAACGCGGGCGGCAUUCUGCGAGCGAUGCGCUGCUACGGGUUGCAUGGGCCCGCCGUCGCUGCCGCGACAGUUGCGGCCUCCACAGUGGAAGUCAAGGAUUCGUGCAUGAGUGUCAGCGCCUCCAUGCACACCACCGUCGAGGCCGUUGCAGAGAGCGCAGAAGGGUCGGUACGACACCGCGUCGGCAGCUUCAUCUACUCGGGAACGCGGCUGCAGAAAGCCAUGGCGCACUCCGAGUGCACCCACGCACUGCGCACCGACCCCACGCACGCAGGACGCGAUAUUCCUCAGCUGUGCGUGCCGGCUCUUGACGUAUUGUUCGACGUGCUGAGAGACGAGUACGGGUACCAACAAAAGGAGCCGCGGUCACCGUCACCCUCCUCCGUGUGUGUGGUGGCCGUGGAACUGGUGGAAGGCGCCAUUCCUCUGCCAUUUUACGAGCACCCCUUCAGUCAUCCCACUCAACAGGGGCCACUGCCGCGUGUCGAGAAGGACGCUACCUCCACUGUCGCGCAUCUCCCAAUGGUCUUCUACGUGCUUGGUGCGGAAGACGGCACCCUUUCUGCCCAUCACGUGCAGCACGACGUCGAUGAUGUUGUCUUCAUUCCAACGACCGGCAGCAUGAACCUGGCAGCCACCGUGAAUGUUCUCCUGUACGACCGCCUCUCGAAGGAGUGCUGCGGUGUGCACCCCGGUGUUGCAGAGGCUUUAUCGACAGGGAGUAGGUGGAAGGACGUGUUUGACACGCGUAACGCCAACAACCGAAUGCGCUGGACGCGCACUCCCCACUGAAGGUAUGAGGGAAGCAAGAGCGGCAUUGGCUCCGUGCAUGUGUGUGCAACCCAAAACGGCUCUCCUGCAUCGCCAACGCACCUGUGGCCACACUGCACGGUCGCGCCCCUCCCCCUCCCCUUUUUCAGGCUGGCUGCUGCCUGCGGAGAGAGAAACCGACGGAGAGAGUGAUCAUCGGCGGUAGCACGAGCAGUGCUCUUUCUUUCGGUACUCUCUCCAACCUUACACACGAACACACGCGCGCGCGACACACACACAACGUCGACUAACGAACAGCAUAACCAAUUCACCAAAAAAAAAUGCAGGCAACGAAGCAAAAGGGAAAGCACCAGUUGUGGACAUGAAGGAGGGGGGAUGGGUCGGGGAACGGAUGACUGGCCUCGUCGACAGCCGCGCACGGGUGGACCCCUCGGGUGUGAAGCACCCGCGUCGGAUGCGGUUCCGCGCCUUGUUCCUUUUUUUUUCUUGCGCUCUGCCGAUCCCGAUAGUGGACACACACAGCUAGGGAUGGCAACGCAAAGAGCACGAGACGGCGCUUGUGCAGGGUGGACAGAAAGGCAGAUGCCUGUUCUGGGACGUGCGCGUGUCGACCAAUACGAGCGCAGCCAAUCUUCCUCUCUCUCUCUAACCGGUCCCUCCUCUGGCUGCCUCUCCACGAUGCGCGAAUUCAGUGUUCCCAUUUCUCACGCCCGCAUGUGCAUCACGCAGACACGCGAAAAUGCCUGCGUGAUAGCCGCGUACGCAUUCCGCGAAGCCG
rnacentral:misc_RNA from 1 species